rnacentral:rRNA from 1 species
UACAGAGGUCUCAAGCGUUGUUCGGAUUCAUUGGGCGUAAAGGGUGUGUAGGUGGCGCCGUAAGUCGGGUGUGAAAUUUCGGAGCUUAACUCCGAAACUGCAUUCGAUACUGCCGUGCUUGAGGACUGGAGAGGAGACUGGAAUUUACGGUGUAGCGGUGAAAUGCGUAGAUAUCGUAAGGAAGACCAGUGGCGAAGGCGGGUCUCUGGACAGUUCCUGACGCUGAGGCACGAAGGUCAGGGGAGGCAAACGGG